rfam:Ovis aries breed Texel chromosome 5, whole genome shotgun sequence.
UCCCUGGUGGCUCAGAGGUUAAAGCGUUUGCCUGCAAGGCAGGAGACCCAGGUUCAAUCCCUGGGUCGGGGAG